rnacentral:rRNA from 1 species
GAUGAACGCUAGCGGCAGGCCUAAUACAUGCAAGUCGGACGGGAUUGAGGAGCUUGCUUCUCAUGAGAGUGGCGCACGGGUGCGUAACACGUAUGUAACCUACCUCGUUCAGGGGGAUAGCCUCUCGAAAGAGAGUUUAAGACCGCAUAACGCAGUGAUGUGGCGUCAUAUUACUACCAAAUAUUUAUAGGAAAAAGAUGGGCAUGCGGAACAUUAGCUAGUUGGUAAGGUAACGGAUUACCAAGGCUACGAUGUUUAGGGGAUCUGAGAGGAUUACCCCCCACACUGGUACUGAGAAACGGACCAGACUCCUACGGGAGGCAGCAGUAAGGAAUAUUGGUCAAUGGACGGAAGUCUGAACCAGCCAUGCCGCGUGCAGGAAGACGGCCCUACGGGUUGUAAACUGCUUUUAUACGGGGAUAAACCUACUUACGUGUAAGUAGCUGAAUGUACUGUAAGAAUAAGGAUCGGCUAACUCCGUGCCAGCAGCCGCGGUAACAC